UACGUAGGGUGCAAGCGUUUAAUCGGAAUUACUGGGCGUAAAGCGUGCGCAGGCGGUGAUGUAAGACAGAUGUGAAAUCCCCCGGGCUCAACCUGGGAACUGCGUUUCUAACUGGCAGGCUUGAGUGUGGCAGAGGGGGGUGGAAUUCCGACGUGUAGCAGUGAAAUGCGUAGAGAUGUGGAGGAACACCGAUGGCGAAGGCAGCCCCCUGGGCUAACACUGACGCUCAUGCACGAAAGCGUGGGGAGCAAACAGG
rnacentral:rRNA from 1 species